CUGCACCACUGAAUUUGUCUCCGGCUCCUGCACCACUGAAUUUGUUUCCGGCUCCUGCACCACUGAAUUUGUCUCCGGCUCCUGCACCACUGAAUUUGACUCUUGCUGGACCAUCACCUGCCUCUGCUCCAAAGUCGGCACCAGUCUCAAACCCCCAACAAAUGCAUAAAGAUACAAAACCAUGGACGCACGAAGCUACCUUGCUUCUAAUUUGUCUAACGAAGAAAAUGGCUGAAGACUUUCAAUCUCCUGUGUUAAAGAAGGUAGAAGUGGAAGGUAGCUGCAGGAAUGCUGGCUAAAGGACAUGACUUUGGAGCAGAGGCAUGUGACAAUAAGUUCAGGCAAUUAAAACACAGAUACAAAACAAUAGUGGACAACAAGAAGAAGACUGGGAGUGGUGCCAGCAGCUGGGUCUUCUUCUCUUCAAUGGAGGACCUCCUGGCUGAUGAUCCCAGUGUGGAGCCGGUCCAGACUGUGUCAUCAUUUGCUGGAUCUUCAUCAGACCCAGAUGGCCCAGGACCAUCAUCUUCACAACCAUCAACAUCACAACCUAAGCCAUCAGCAGAACGUGGCAGAAAGAGAAAGUACAAGUCCACAUCUGAAGCACCCCAGUGGUUGAGCAGCAUGUCACUGAGCAGAGGAGGCAGAUGUCGGAACUCAUGGUCCUGCAAAAACAAGCAGUGGAAGUGGCGA